GCGUGGCCUAACGGAUAAGGUGUCUGACUUCGAAUCUGCAGAUUACAAGUUCGAGUCUUGUCACCAACA